GCGCGUGUCGCCUAACGGUUGAGGGCACUUGACUUUUAAUCAAGAGUGGCGAUUAAUGCCUCAUUGGAAGUUCGAAUCUUCUCACGCGCA
rnacentral:tRNA from 1 species